rnacentral:tRNA from 1 species
UAUUUAUUAGUUUAAUAUAAAACAUUAUAUUUUCAAUAUAAAUAAACUUUUUUAAAAACAA